GKSRAACUGAGCUCUUUCUUGAUUCAGUGGGUGGUGGUGCAUGGCCGUUCUUAGUUGGUGGAGUGAUUUGUCUGGUUAAUUCCGUUAACGAACGAGACCUUAACCUGCUAAAUAGUCACGCGAACCGGUCCGCAAGGGCUCAAAGUUCGCGGCUCGACUUCUUAGAGGGACUAUUCGCACCCGCCAGCGAAUGGAAGUUUGAGGCAAUAACAGGUCUGUGAUGCCCUUAGAUGUUCUCGGCCGCACGCGCGUUACACUGACGGAGUCAACGAGCGUUUUUCCUUGCCCGAUAGGGUUGGGUAACCUCCUGAAACUCCGUCGUGAUGGGGAUAGAUCAUUGCAAUUAUUGAUCUUGAACGAGGAAUUCCUAGUAGGCGCGAGUCAUCAACUCGCGCCGAUUACGUCCCUGCCCUUUGUACACACCGCCCGUCGCUCCUACCGAUUGAACGGUCCGGCGAGAARCCGGRAUGGWCA
rnacentral:rRNA from 1 species